rnacentral:rRNA from 1 species
UAGGGAAUAUUGGACAAUGGGGGCAACCCUGAUCCAGCCAUGCCGCGUGAGUGAAGAAGGCCCUCGGGUUGUAAAGCUCUUUUGUCCGGAAAGAAAAGCAUUCGGUGAAUACCCGGAUGUUCUGACGGUACCGGAAGAAUAAGCACCGGCUAACUUCGUGCCAGCAGCCGCGGUAAUACGAAGGGUGCAAGCGUUACUCGGAAUUACUGGGCGUAAAGAGUACGUAGGUGGUUGUUUAAGCCUGAUGUGAAAGCCCUGGGCUCAACCUGGGAAUGGCAUUGGAAACUGGGCAGCUAGAGUGCGGUAGAGGGCAGUGGAAUUCCCGGUGUAGCAGUGAAAUGCGUAGAGAUCGGGAGGAACAUCUGUGGCGAAGGCGACUGCCUGGACCAGCACUGACACUGAGGCACGAAAGCGUGGGGAGCAAACA